AAGGACUCCCACACCACAGAUCUGGCUGCUGCCACAGCCUGCCUCUUCAGAACUGAGGCACUGCCCCUUGCUGGGAGAGUUGUGCCCUCACUUGCAGUCUGUUUGCACAGCUCCUGCCCCAGUGUCCUACAGCCCUGAGGAAUAUUAGAUAUCCGUACAAACUGCAGCUUUUCCUGAAAUGAAACUUCUUGUCUUGCCAGCCUAUUCUCUCUAAAUGUAGAAAAGAGAAGAAAAAGGAUAAAAUAGGAACUCCUAGAAUCACUGGGGUUGGGAGGGACCUCUGGGAAUCAUCCAGACCAAGUCCACAUUAAAGUAGGUUCCCUGCAGUGGGUUGCCCAGUAAAGCAUCCAGAAGUCAGUACUGGAGACGGCGCUGUAGGUACCAUGGAGAGCUCCUAGGCCAGGCACUGUGCUGGAGGACCGUCAUGUCCAGACCCAUGACUUGCAGCGGACACGUUACAGAAGGUGCAUCCAGCUGCAAAAUGUGGAUCAGGUCUGAACUGCUAUCUCAAGACAUCGUUAUGCAUCUGCUCUAACUAUGAAACCUACUCCACUUCACCAUUAUAGAGGUUUUCCACUUUGACUCCAUUCGAUUUUCUCGUUUUCGGAUUUGGGGAGUUAUUUUUGAGUAGCACAACUUCACUAGCUUCACUGACACCGAAUGUGAUGUACAGCAGUGGAGUUACAAUAGAGUUAAACCAAUGAUCUGACAUACUGAUUGGCAAUGUUAGUCUCAUUUUACAAAAACCAGAUUCCUUUUCUGUUUGCUGUCACUGUAGCAACAUCUAAUGACAGGCUGUGACAGCAUGAGCAAGGGGGGAGAGCUGUGAAAAAAAGUUGAGCCAUAAAACAUCUGUCUUAGCAACAAAUUAAGCCUGAAGUAGAGCCAUAUUACUACUUUUGUCCAUACAUCUAUCUUUUUAACACUGUUUUUCCACCAGAUUGUUAAAAAUAACUUGUUGCUGUCUCUAAGCUGUGUGAUGCAUAAGAAGAUUUUGCUUUGGUACUUUUAAGAUCAGAGAGUGCUGAUGCAGAGUUCUGAGGCUACUAAACUCAGGAUUUACAAUUUACCUUGGCUCCUUAAGGCAAUACAUUAAUACUUGCAGUAAUUGCAGAAAAGUCCCGAAGGGACCAUGAGUGUUGUACAUAGUUUAAGUAUGAAUAUUGAUUCAGUUAUUCAAUCAGUCAGGCUUUAUUUUAUAUAGUACAUCUACCCUUCAGUGUUCAUCUUUGGUCACUAUGGAUAAAUAAUGAGAAAGGAAUUGGAACUGUAAAUAAAGCUUCAGCUCAGGAGGCACUGUUCUAACAAAAGAGGUAGUACGUAAUAAAUACACACAAGAGCAGUUUAUU
ensembl:lncRNA